rnacentral:sRNA from 3 species
AUAUCUCUCUGUACGGGAAGGAUGAGAAGCUUCGACUAAGGUUCGAUUCGAGCGUCAGCGAGAAAGCGUUGCCGCAGGAAACGACCCGAAGGGCGAAGCGCGCAGCGCUGAGUCAUCCUUCCCCCACCACCA